GACGAACCGUACGAACGUUAUUCGGAAUUACUGGGCUUAAAGGGUGCGUAGGCGGCGCAGUAAGUUGGGUGUGAAAUCCCUCGGCUUAACCGAGGAAUUGCGCCCAAAACUACUGUGCUCGAGGGAGAUAGAGGUGAGCGGAACUUAGGGUGGAGCGGUGAAAUGCGUUGAUAUCCUAAGGAACACCGGUGGCGAAAGCGGCUUACUGGAUCUCUUCUGACGCUGAGGCACGAAAGCUAGGGUAGCAAACGGG
rnacentral:rRNA from 1 species